CAAGCCUUUCUAUGGGGGAAAAGUACACAGGGUUACAGCUGAGGUGAAGCAUAACCCCACGAACACCAUAGUGUGUAAAGCACAAGGGGAGUGGAACGGCACGCUGGAGUUUACGUACAGCAACGGAGAAACCAAAAUAAUCGACACCACCAAGCUACCCAUCAUCCGCAAGAAGAUCAGACCGAUAGCAAAACAAGGUCCAUUUGAAUCAAGGCAUCUUUGGCAACACGUUACGAACGCCCUGAGAGAAGGCAACAUCAGCGCAGCAACAGACCACAAACAGCUUCUUGAGGAGCGGCAGCGAGUAGAGGAAAGGCAGCGAGCAAUUAGCAAUACGGUCUGGAAACCAAAAUAUUUCAUCAAAGAGGUAACGAGACUGCUACUUGAGUGGCAGUCAGCU